UCGCUUUUAGCUCAAUUGGACAGAGCAGUUGAUUUCGAUUCAACAGGUUAAGGGUUCAACUCCCUUAAAGCGUA
rnacentral:tRNA from 1 species